rnacentral:rRNA from 1 species
ACUCAAAUGAAUUGACGGGGAGGCGCACAAGCAGUGGAGCGUGUGGUUUAAUUCGAUACGAAGCGUAAAACCUCACCAGGGUUUGACAUGCAAAUGCUAAGCCUAUGAAAGUAGGCCUCCUUCGAGGGUUUUGCACAGAUGCUGCAUGGCUGUCGUCAGCUCGUGGCGUGAGCUGUCCCCUUAAGUGGGUAAACGAGCGCAACCCGCACCGUAUGUUAAAUAAUCCAUGCGGAACAGUUUUACUUUGUAAAAAGGAAGGCGCGGAUGACGUCAAGUCAGCACGGCUCUUACACCCUGGGCUACACACACCCUACAAUGGCGAAAAACAACGAGCUGCAAGGUAGUAAUGCCAAGCUAAUCUCUAAAAUUUCGCCCCAGUUCAGAUCGAGGGCUGCAAUUCGCCCUCGUGAAGUCGGAAUUGCUAGUAAUCGCGAAUCAGCAGGUCGCGGUGAAUACGUUCUCGCCUCUUGUACACACCGCCCGU